rnacentral:rRNA from 1 species
AGCGAACGCUGGCGGCAGGCUUAACACAUGCAAGUCGAGCGGGCACUUUCGGGUGUCAGCGGCGGACGGGUGAGUAACGCGUGGGAACGUGCCCUCUGGUUCGGAAUAACUCAGGGAAACUUGAGCUAAUACCGGAUACGCCCUUUUGGGGAAAGGCUUGCUGCCGGAGGAUCGGCCCGCGUCUGAUUAGCUAGUUGGUGAGGUAACGGCUCACCAAGGCGACGAUCAGUAGCUGGUCUGAGAGGAUGAUCAGCCACACUGGGACCGAGACACGGCCCAGACUCCUACGGGAGGCAGCAGUGGGGAAUAUUGGACAAUGGGCGCAAGCCUGAUCCAGCCAUGCCGCGUGAGUGAUCAAGGCCUUAGGGUUGUAAAGCUCUUUUAUCCGGGACGAUAAUGACGGUACCGGAGGAAUAAGCCCCGGCUAACUUCGUG